AACGAACGCUGGCGGCAUGCCUAACACAUGCAAGUCGAACGAGACCUUCGGGUCUGGUGGCGAAGGGGUGCGUAACGCGUGGGAACCUGCCCUUAGGCUCGGAAUAACUCCCCGACAGGGGUGGUAAAACCGGCUAAUGUCGGAGGACUAAAGAUUGAUCGCCUUUUGAUGGGCCCGCGUUGAAUGAGAUAGAUGGUAGAGUAAAAGCCUACUAAGGCGCAGAUCCAUAGCUGGUCUGAGAGGAGGGUCAACCACACUGGGACUGAGACACGCACCAGACUCCAACAGGAGGCAGCAGGGGGGAAUAUUGGACAACGGGCGAGAGCCUAAGACAGCAAUGUCGCGGGAUUGAUGCAGGUCUUAGGGGGGUAUAGCUCUUUUACCCGGGAUGAUAAUGAAAGUACCGGAAGAAUAAGCUCCGGCUAACUCCGUG
rnacentral:rRNA from 1 species